UCCGACCAGCUUCGAUCGGCAGUUCCCCAGCGUUCACCUUCCGCGGAAAGAUUGUUGCUUCACAUUUCAGAUAUUAGUUCCACGCCGACUUCCCGACUGUGCAAAACAUAGAUACUUGAAAAUGAGAUACGUGGACUGCAUCAUUCGCUCAACUUUCAUCUACAAAGAGGGGAAAAAAAAUACAAUAAAAAUUCCACCUUCAGCUUCUACGUUUGGGGCUGCACGUUGAUCAUUAAUCAGGCAGUCAGUCAGGACUACAUUUUUAUGGAUCGACUUAUUUGUAUUCCAAAUAAUGCAUGUUUUAAUUGCAAUAUCACCAAAAAAAACUGCAUUCGGACAAGCGGACAAUGAACUUAUCCAAAGUUUUAGGAACAAGCCGGACGUAGUUUCCGAAAAUAAAGUUCCGUAGAGUUUUGUUGAGGCACAGAAGAUGAAAAAAUCUUGCGAAAAAUGCAUCAUUUGUGCUGCUUUUCAUUUAUAUUCCUAGCUUGCAGUCUGCAGAAUUCUUCUUUCACAGAUUCGCACCGACUCAAGGGAACUCAAUUUCAAUUUGCUAGGCGGCCCCUCGGCUCGGGAAAAUUGACAGGCCAGCGCCAAGGUGGAGGCGGGCGUCAAUUGGCAGUCAUAAAUCUUCGUAGAGUUCUUGUCUAGCGGCGACAUUGUAAAUUUUCAUUAAGUUUUUUGAAUUAUUGAAAUGCAAUAAAUCAAAAUCUCGUUAA